UACGCAGGCGGGAUAUUAAGUCAGUGGUGAAAGCCUACAGCUCAACUGUAGAACUGCCAUUGAAACUGAUAUUCUUGAGUAUGGAUGAGGUGGUUGGAAUAUAUCAUGUAGCGGUGAAAUGCUUAGAUAUGAUAUAGAACACCGAUUGCGAAGGCAGAUCACUAAACCAUUACUGACGCUCAUGUACGAAAGCGUGGGGAGCGAACAGGAUUAGAUACCCUGGUAGUCC
rnacentral:rRNA from 1 species